rnacentral:rRNA from 1 species
UACAGAGGGUGCGAGCGUUGUUCGGAAUUAUUGGGCGUAAAGGGCGCGUAGGCGGUGCGGUAAGUCACCUGUGAAAUCUCCUGGCUCAACUGGGAGCUUGCAGGCGAAACUGCCGUGCUGGAGUGUGGGAGAGGUGCGUGGAAUUCCUGGUGUAGCGGUGAAAUGCGCAGAUAUCAGGAGGAACACCGAUGGCGAAGGCAGGUCUCUGGGCCGAUACUGACGCUGAGGAGCGAAAGCGUGGGGAGCGAACAGG